AAAAAUCUCUUUUUUUUCACAACCUGAUACAUCUUUGUGCCUCCUGGGUGGGCGGUGUAAGGCGUGUCAUGAGUCUCACUCAUGAUCGUAUUCUUAAGUUCAUCAUCGCGGGGAAUGCAUCUUCUCCCCUCAAAUAAGAUAGCAUUGUCUGAUUUUUUUUUUUGUAACUCUUGAGAUCUCCUGCUCUUAUCCUUUCUCGUAACUUGUUCAUUGUCUCAUCUUUCCUUGUGCUUCAAUCACCAUUUUCCUCAAACUAGGCAUCGUCGCAACAAUACUCGCUAUCGUCCCUGGUGGUUUUAUCAUCUCUAUCCUCAUCUUGUCAAAGUCCUU
rnacentral:lncRNA from 1 species